AUGACCAUUUGUGAUAAAAACCCGUAAAUUUUGUGGGGCCUAUUUAUGUGCCUCAUCAGCACUUAACGGAAUUUUUAAUAAAAUUGUGACGGAAUGACUAGAUUGAUUUGCAACACUUAUUUUCAUGGACUACAUUGGUUGAUUUUCAAUUUCAAUGACCAUUUUGAUGGUGUGGGUCAAUUUCAGAGAUCAUUUGUGAUAAACCCUAAAGGAUGUUUGGUAAGUUUCACAAUAUAACUUAGGUUGUUGCCUGCACAGACAUUGUUGAUCGAUCGACGAAGUUGGAUUUUGAUCGAUACUAAGGCGGAGGAUAUUACCGCAGUGCAUAUAACCUUGCUUCCUUCGGGUCUAGGGCUACACGUUGGGAUAAAAUUUCUUAUAUUAACUGAUUUUGAUCUGAAAAUUUCCAACUUCCGCAUUCCAUGAUCAACAACGAAUCAUCUAACGUUUGUGGAAAAAAAAAAAAAAGGGACAAGACUCGGAAUGUAUCUUAGAAUUUCUAUGGCCGAAGACAUUGAAGUUUUGAGCUAGAACUAACCACUUAACAAUAAAAUAAAUAGGAUUAAUGAUUAGGAAGGCAAAGAUAAUUGUACGUUAAGGCUAAAAUUAUAUAUGUGACAGCAUAUGAUCUCCCUGAAGGCUACAAUAUAGCAUUGCCUGCUUUUUUAAGUAUGUGAUAGAUUCUUAUAGGUUUGUAAUAUUGAUUUUAACCUUUCAAACUUUUUUGAGCAUUUGAAACUCCAAAUUUUGUUUUGAAGAAUUUUUAAAUAUGUAAGUUCCAAAAAAUUUCGAAAAAAAAUUGAAUUUUCAAAUCAUAAUGGAUCUUGAAGUUCUGAUUUUUUUUUUUUUAAAACAAAAUUAGAAUGUAUAUAUCAUUAUAUUGUAUUGAAAUAGAACCCCCUAACUUCGAUUUGACUCGUUUGAAAAUCACUCCUACUUCAGGUUAUCCAAAAAUUUAAUCAUGAAAUGAACUUUUCUGAAGCACACUAAUUAUAUUAGAACACUCUUUGGCAUAAAAAGAGACGAAAGCAAAAAACCCUUCUUUUUCUUGUUUUACCACAUAGAAAAGGUUUCUUUGAUGGUGGAUGACGGUAAUACCAUAAUACCACUCCCAUUUUAUCUAUUUGCACUCCUUCCUUUUAUUUUUAUAUGCUUUAGUAACGGAGCGCAGCCAAACAAUAAUUAAGCUCUUUUUUUUUUUUCCUUCUUUUGUGUACUUCUUGGAUACAUCUUUGAUAAAGAUACAAAAUGUUAUUAGAUCAUGGAAACAUAAUUUACGCUCAAAAAAUGGCAUCAUAUAUUAGAAUAUGAAGGAAAAACCACUUUAGUUUGUGCAUGCAUCACCUUGCUUUCAUGUGAACUUCAUUAUCAAAAAUGUUCCUAUACAAUAUAUAAAGUGUUCCACAUCAUUAGAUGAUUAGUUAAAUAUUGAUUGUCAACAAUACAGUUAGCAAGUUUGUUAGGCCAUCUCCAACUAAGCCGGCCAAAAGGUUAUAGGCCAAAAUAUAGCCCAUUUUGACACAAAAUCCAUCUACAAUUGAGAACUAGGCCAAACAAAUUUGGGAUCCACCAGGCCAAAAUAUAGCCAAAUGGCCAGAGGGCUGGGCAAACAUAGUCAUCCAACUAACCCUGAAAGUUGGGCCUAGUUGUGCUAGCUGACAUUAUGUAGUUAUUUUUUUUUUUAAGACGAGAUUAAAAAAAAUUAAAAAUUCUAAUUUUUUUCCUAUAAAUAUGUAAGUCAUUUCUACACAAUUUCUCACAUCUUUUUCACCCUUCCAUGCUAUCUUACCUCAUUUUAAUGUCUAAGUUGUUAACAUGUAAGUAAAAUUAAAAUAUUUAAUAACAUAAAACUUAAAUAAUAUGAAACUUAAAACAACAUUUAGCGACCAGUGGGCCACAAAAUCGGAAAUCUUAUUUUAAUAUGGUACUUUAAUUCAAUUAACCGUUAAAAUUAAAGAACAAACUUAAAAUAAUAAAUUAUUGAAGUGGGCUAAAAAUAGCCUCCUUCGGUUGGAAAUUGUAUAUAGAUAUGGCUUGGCACUAUUUAUUAAAAAAAUAAUUUCUUGCAAGACUAUAAUCUUGAUGGGGGCUAAACAUAGCCCCUUCGGUUGGGGCGGCCUUAGUGUUUGAUUAGCAUUGUUAAGCUCUUUGUUAUAAACAAGGGUAAAUUACACUUUACCACCUCAGGUUUGGGGUCGAUUUCAAUUUCUUUCAACAUCUUUAAAACAUUUCAAUUUCAUACCUCAAGUACUCUUUUAUUUCAAUAUAAUACAUUCAUUACAUUUUCCAU
rnacentral:lncRNA from 1 species